rnacentral:misc_RNA from 1 species
GAUGAAGAACGUAGCAAAAUGCGAUACUUGGUGUGAAUUGCAGAAUCCCGUGAACCAUCGAGUUUUUGAACGCAAGUUGCGCCCGAAGCCUUUUGGCCGAGGGCACGUCUGCCUGGGCGUCACGCAUCGCGUCGCCCCCCACAAUUCUCCGUAAAGGGAACAUGUGUUUUGGGGGCGGAUAUUGGUCUCCCGUGCUCAUGGCGUGGUUGGCCGAAAUAGGAGUCCUUUCGAUGGACGCACGAACUAGUGGUGGUCGUAAAAACCCUCGUCUUUUGUUUCGUGCUGUUGCUCGCAAGGUAAACUCUUUAAAAACCCCAAUGUGUCGUCUCUUGACGACGCUUCGACCGCGACCCGAGGUCAGGCGGGACUACCCGCUGAGUUUAAGCAUAUCAAUAAGCGGAGGA